rnacentral:rRNA from 1 species
UUCACGGAGAGUUUGAUCCUGGCUCAGGACGAACGCUGGCGGCGUGCCUAACACAUGCAAGUGGAGCGACGAACCAGGGCUUGCCCUGGGGCCAAGCCGCGAACGGGUGAGUAACACGUGGGUAACCUGCCCCGAUGAUUGGGACAACCCGGGGAAACCCGGGCUAAUACCAAAUGUGCUCGCUGGUCAUAAGACUGGUGAGGAAAGGAAGCUUCGGCCUCCGCAUUGGGAUGGGCCCGCGGCCCAUUAGCUUGUUGGUGAGGUAAAGGCUCACCAAGGCGACGAUGGGUAGCUGGUCUGAGAGGACGAUCAGCCACACUGGGACUGAGACACGGCCCAGACUCCUACGGGAGGCAGCAGUGGGGAAUCUUGCGCAAUGCGCGAAAGCGUGACGCAGCAACGCCGCGUGGGGGAAGACGGCCUUCGGGUUGUAAACCCCUUUCAGUUGGGACGAAGCUUUGCCGGUGAAUAGCCGGUUGGAGUGACGGUACCUUCAGAA